rnacentral:rRNA from 1 species
GAUGAACGCUAGCGACAGGCUUAACACAUGCAAGUCGAGGGCAGCGGAGAGGAAAGCUUGCUUUCCUCUGCCGGCGACCGGCGCACGGGUGAGUAACACGUAUGCAACCUACCCCUGGCAGGGGGAUAACCCGGAGAAAUCCGGACUAAUACCGCGUAACACCGCGGGGAGACAUCUCCCGGCGGUCAAAGGAAGCGAUUCCGGCCAGGGAUGGGCAUGCGGCGCAUUAGGCAGUUGGCGGGGUAACGGCCCACCAAACCGACGAUGCGUAGGGGUUCUGAGAGGAAGGUCCCCCACACUGGUACUGAGACACGGACCAGACUCCUACGGGAGGCAGCAGUGAGGAAUAUUGGUCAAUGGGCGCAAGCCUGAACCAGCCAAGUCGCGUGAGGGAAGACGGUCCUAUGGAUUGUAAACCUCUUUUGUCAGGGAGCAAGCGCGGGACGCGUCCCGUCGUUGAGAGUACCUGAAGAAAAAGCAUCGGCUAACUCCGUG